UACGGAGGGAGCUAGCGUUGUUCGGAAUUACUGGGCGUAAAGCGCACGUAGGCGGCGACUCAAGUCAGAGGUGAAAGCCCGGGGCUCAACCCCGGAACUGCCUUUGAAACUAGGUUGCUAGAAUCCUGGAGAGGUGAGUGGAAUUCCGAGUGUAGAGGUGAAAUUCGUAGAUAUUCGGAAGAACACCAGUGGCGAAGGCGACUUACUGGACACAUAUUGACGCUGAGGUGCGAAAGCGUGGGGAGCAAACAGG
rnacentral:rRNA from 1 species